CAGCAGCCGCGGUAAUACAGAGGGUGCGAGCGUUAAUCGGAUUUACUGGGCGUAAAGCGUGCGUAGGCGGCUUUUUAAGUCGGAUGUGAAAUCCCUGAGCUUAACUUAGGAAUUGCAUUCGAUACUGGGAAGCUAGAGUAUGGGAGAGGAUGGUAGAAUUCCAGGUGUAGCGGUGAAAUGCGUAGAGAUCUGGAGGAAUACCGAUGGCGAAGGCAGCCAUCUGGCCUAAUACUGACGCUGAGGUACGAAAGCAUGGGUAGCAAACAGGAUUAGAUACCCCCGUAGUCCCUGUCUCUUAUAC
rnacentral:rRNA from 1 species